AUGGGCAGCGUCUGCCUCCUCCUGCUCCUGGGCGCCGUCUGCACAACGGCCCGGAGCGCCGUGCUGGUGCGCCAGGAUGCCCUGGACAAGACUGUGCGAGAGGGAGAAGAAGUGACUUUCAGUUGCAGCCUGGAGGGAGAGGACAUGAGCAACUACUGGAUGUACUGGUACCGGAAGGGGGAGCAGGGCACCCUGACCUGGAUUUUCCGACAAGGGGGCUAUUACGGCGACGGCUUCCAGGGGCGCUUUGAAGGGGAGGUCAAGAGGUUCGAGAACAGGUUCACGCUCCGGCUCCUGCAGGCGGCGCGGGCGGACCGGGCCGUGUAUUACUGCGCUACGAGACCACGGUGA